UGAGAAUGAUCAUUCAUUUCCAUUUCUGAUUUCUAUUACCUGCACAUGUAAAAAUCAGGUAUGUCUAAUUUCCCAUUUUCUUCCCUUCACUUUAUGUUACCAAAACUAAAGGACCAUGAGUAAAAGGCCAAUUCCCGCUAUUGACCUCUCAUCUCCAGUAACAGCACAGUACCAGAAAGUAUAACUACUUCAUUAAAUGUAAAAGCAAUUACAAGCAAUGAGAAUUGGUAGUCCUCCUAUCCCUUUACAAGGAGAUGACAAUGUCAUAUUUACCAUGUUCCUUCACACUUUAAUCAAUCUUCA
rnacentral:misc_RNA from 1 species